GAGAGGAGCGACAAAGUGGCCAGAAGGAAAACACACAGAUGAGGAAAUUGCUUCCUGUGAAGGCACCAACGUAUAAGCCAUAGUUAGGACUGAGGAGGCAUGGUAUGGUUACAUUAAAAAAAACCUUGGCUGAGUGGAACUGACAAGCAGUUGAAAUUUCUUUCAGGGCUUGAUUUCCUCUUUGUUUUAGAAAUGGUGAUAAAUCAAACAAUAUUCUGUGAUUUACUUUUGAAAACAAUGUCUCCAGUGGAAUUUUCCACCCAGUCCCCUCCAGCUGUAAGCAGCCUCAGCUAUGUGCUGUACAAAUCCACUGGCAUUUUCUGAGUGCCACGGCCUGAGGAGGGACAAGGAGCAGUGUAGAGCAUGUCUGCAUCUAGUGAGGGUUUUGUCAGAUGAUCCACCUUCUGCCCUCUGUGACCUCAGUUAGGGCCACAGAUGUUAAAGGUGAUACUUAGUGACUGCUUACAACUGAAUCAUCAAAAAGGGCCAACUUCUGUUCAAAACCAUUUGAUACUUACAGUGUUAGCAAAGAGAAUGAAUACACUUAAAAAACUAUAGUUAAUAGUAAUUAUUCACCAAUCAUUCCAGCUCAUAAAGGUCUUAGUGCAUUUGAUUCCUUUAUCCCUAAGAAAGGAAUCUCCAAAGAAGCGAGGAUUUACACGCUAAGAUACCUCUAGACUGUUAUGUAUAGGAAAGCAAAGACAUUCUAGCUUAACUCAGAUGAAAAAAUAUUGGUAGACUAGAGAAGCAAUGAAUCUAAACCCCAAACAUUAAAGAAUAAAAGAAAAAAAUCAUGAGUAUUAUCAGUAACACUUUAAGAUUUCUGAGCAAAUAUUGGCUGAAAAUGCAUUCAAGAAAUAAGUUAAAAGAAAAGGGAGAUGGAACAAAGAACCCACUGAUUUGUAUCAAAUUACAUUUACGUGAGAUAAUUUCUUAUAUAUAUGAUUUCCUCCUGCAGAAAACAGUAAUACAAGAGAGUGGAAAUCACAAAAUGUGAUGAUUUGUUUCCAACAUAAAUAUCUGCCAAAGCAGCUACUGCAAAUAGUGAAAUUCAUAGCUAAGACUGCCAUUUUUACUACUCUUCCAUUUAUGUAUUGAAUAGAUCUUCAAAAUCGAGUAAAUGAUUUUUAAGAUAUAUAUACAUAUAACUUAUUAUUUCAAACUUAAGAUGCUACUGAAUGUAAGAUUUACAUUGAAUGUAAGACACAUAUAUUCCAUUUAGAAAAAUUAUGCCAAUUAAACUGUGAGAAGCCAUCGAUAAGAUAAAUCCCAAUUUCAGAGAUGUUAAAAUGAAAAAAAAGUACAUAUCAGAAUCAAUGAAAUACGAUAUAUCAGAAUUCAAAAUAUUACUCCUGGCCAAACUUUCCAUAUAAGGCUGCAAUGGAUAACCUGGGCUUCAUUCCAACUAGGUAUGCGCUUGUAACUCUGGCCAUUGCCAAAUGAGCUUGGGUACAAAACACUGUUGAUUUUGAAAAGAAGGGCAUAAUCCCUUCUCUGUCUUUUAUGGAAAAGCAUCUUUCAUGGAAAAAACUAUGCAGAGACAGUUGCCUCUGGAUUGUUAAUGAUGAUCAGGGCCUGUAAAUUGAAAGCGUUUCCUGGAGUUCCUGAAGCAGAGCCCAAGAUCAACAUCCAGAUAGUCUGUGAUGUCUUUGCGUUUACCUGAGUUCCUGAGUGAAUAAAAUGGAUGAAGUAUGCACCCUUGCUUUACUCUGAGAGGAAUAAGUGAAACGGAUAGCAUUGACUCAUAUUAAAAAAGUUGUAUAACCACGAAAUAGCUACAGAAUUGUGAAGGUAUUCUUUGGGAAAGUUUUUGCGAUACAAACUGGCUUACAGUUGCCAGAUCUCAGGAUAGUCCAGGAUUACUUAACUUGGUAAGGUUAACAAAAAUGGACUACAAGUGUGGAGGAAGUCCCAGUUUUGUACCUGCAGUUAUCUCAUGAUAAAGGGUCUUAAAAUUACAUUGGAGGAGCAAAAACAGAAUAGAUGGUGUGAAAUAAACAAACGAGGGCUCUUGGCCAACAGCACUGAGCACUGAGAUGUUAUGAUAGACCAAUUCCCCUCGUCUCCUUCACAGAAGCAGUAGUGAACGUGGUUAUUUUGAAAAUCUUGGGACGUCUCUUCACAUUACAUGUGCUGAAGAAAGGGUUUAACGGUCUGAGCAGGCCCAAUGUUCGCCAAUUAAAGGAUCACACGUGUAUCUCAGAAAGCAAUCUUUAGGAUAUUGUUAUUUAUACAUUCUCUUCUUGGAUAGCUUUUUAUAAAGGCAUCCUGAGCCAUUUGCAACUAGUUUUAUUGUUGUUGUUUUUAAUUUUGUUUUUUUUUAAAACGAUUUGUAAAGGUAGCUUAUAUAGCUCUCCAGGAAAUUAUUCUAGAGAUAGGCCUUGAAGCACCAAAAGCUUACUAAAUUUCUACUGGUAUAAAAGGGUUUAAGUGGAUUUCCUUUUGAAUUUUUAUACCUAAAAUACAUAUUUUUAAAAUUUUGUUUGUCUUGUGACCUGUAAGACUCCACAGACCUCAUUAAUCACUUUUAUUCAUUCAUAAACAUUUAUUAAGUGAUGAUAUAUUCAAAGAUAAAAAGGAUAUUAGCUCAAGGAAUUCACUAUAGGUUUCUCCCGUUAAAUGCGGUGUGAUAAUGCUCUGCUGAAAGUGUCUGCAGUGUGAGGACAGCUGGGGGAGGGCCAUUGCUCAGGCACAGCCAGGGCCAAAUGGGGGUGUGCAUAGGGGAGUGGGGUACAUUAGGAAAGGCUGUUCCAGGGAAAUCAAAGAAACACAGCAAGAGUGAAACAAUGGGAUGUUUAGAGCAUUGCAAGAAAGUUCAGAACGGGUGGGGGCAGGAAUGACUGGCACGGCAGGAGACAAAGGAGGCAGACAGGGCCUUUUCCACGCCUACAAAUUUAUACUUUGCCCAGUGAGCAAUGCAGGGCCACUGAAGAUUUUUAAGGAGAGCAACACAGUCAAGGGAGCAAGGCUGGAGGAAGACCGACUAGAGUUGCUCUUCUAACAAGUGAUGUCAACUGCGAAUAAGCAAAGAGUUUCAGAGGUUGCCAGAUUGUCACAGACGACUUUUGAGAACCCAGUUUCAUUCCCAAGGCUGCUAUCAAUAAAUCUUGCUGACGGCCCUCUUGUUUUGAUUUGUGGACUGCAGCUCUAUUAGUUUUCCUACCCGACCAAGACUCUUUGGAUGGCAUUUUGGAAUUCACAGGAAAGAAAUAAAACCUAUAUUGAUCUAUGUCUUGUCGAUGAACUCUAUUCAGCUAACAAAUGAGCAUUCUACCAGGCAGCACAGAACUCUAACCUACAGAGAGCUGCAGAGAAACAUCACGGAGAGGUGGAGGAGGAUGAUGAAGCACUUCUUAAAAAGAGGUCGACUAACCAGAAAAAUUCUUCUUUCUUCCUUUU